CACAGCCCCCAGGGCUCCAUAGGGAGGGAGGGCAGGGACAGGCUGUGGCCACCUCCACCCCCACCCUCCCUCCCUGAGCCUCCUUUGAGGCUGCAAGCCCACUAACCAUCUGCUGAGGCAGGGGCUGGGGGCGCAGGAAGGGCACCUGAGCCUCCCCUUCUGUGGGGGUGGGGUGGCCCCUGAGAAGGGCCCCCUUUCCUCACCCCCCAGGACUUUAUCUGCAUCAUCUCUUAUUCCUCCUGCAUCCCUGCUGGGGAUGCUGUUAUUCCCCGACUUGCCCAGCUGAGGAAACUGAGGCCUGAGAAGUUAAGGUUGCUGGGAGAAGCAGGCCCCCAAUAUAGAUGCACACACAGGCCCGUGUGCAGGAUGGCAGGGACACACUAUGGAAACCAGGAUGCUGCCAAGCUCCAGCCCCACCACCGAGCAGCCACUGGAACCACGGCCUCAGUCUUCAUGUCUGUGAAUUGGGGAGAACGGACCCGGACCUCUCUCCGGCAGCUCCAGGAGGCAGUGGAGGAGGGCUGUCAGGCUCGGCUCUGGACCUGGAGUUGGGAUGCUGUGUGGCCAACCCCCAAGCAGGAACAGGCUUCAGCCACACGCCCUCACCUGCAUGGUUCAAGCAGAAAAGCAUGUAUGGGGCGCCGACUGAAUACCAGAGUCUACACCCAGAGU
rnacentral:lncRNA from 1 species